GUACAGGUUUGCAGAUUCCACCAGCAGCACAGCAAGCUCUACAGAUGAGUGGCUCUUUGGCAUUUGGUGCUGUGGCAGAAUUCUCUUUUGUUAUAGAUUUGCAAACAAGACUUUCCCAGCAGACUGAAGGUGAGUUGAAGUGUUCAUAUUUUUUAUUUUUGUCUUUGAAAUAGAAUUAAAUGUAGUAAGACAGUUUUCUAUAUUUAUUGUCAUAUUUUUAUACCAGUAAUUUGGACCGAAUUUUGACACAGUGACACAUAGUGGUAUAUUCAUAGUAAUCUGUAUUUCAGAAGACCUAACCCAAAUUAAUGGACUUUAAAAAAAAUCAAAAUAACAAUUUUUUUUUUUUUGCUUUAGUUUGCUUAAAAUUUUCAACCUUGUUUUUGUUUUAUGCCUACCUGUGUGUUCUCAGUGUCGAUAAGUUGCAUAUAGAAGUCAGGAAAUGAAGUAUUCUCUUGUUAACGAGUAGGCAAGUAUUUUAGAACAUGGAAUCUGGAAGUUGCCUUAGUAUAAAGUUAUGAAUCGUGCUAUAAAACUCACCUUUUUUU
rnacentral:sRNA from 1 species